rfam:Bacillus krulwichiae strain AM31D, complete genome.
UAGUCCUUUAACUACAGUCCCGUGAGGCUGAGAAGGAAAACGAACGGAAGCAGCAGAUGCAAUCUGUCUGUACUUACUAACGUCUUUUAUCCUCUCUGUCUUUAUAAGGACAGAGAGGUUUUUCGU